UACGAAGGGGGCUAGCGUUGUUCGGAAUUACUGGGCGUAAAGCGCACGUAGGCGGAUUUGUAAGUCAGGGGUGAAAUCCCGGGGCUCAACCUCGGAACUGCCCUUGAUGCUGCAAAUCUCGAGUCCGAUAGAGGUGAGUGGAAUUCCUAGUGUAGAGGUGAAAUUCGUAGAUAUUAGGAAGAACACCAGUGGCGAAGGCGGCUCACUGGAUCGGUACUGACGCUGAUGUGCGAAAGCGUGGGGAGCAAACAGG
rnacentral:rRNA from 1 species